ACNNUGCAGUCGAGCGGUAGAGAGGAGCUUGCUUCUCUUGAGAGCGGCGGACGGGUGAGUAAUGCCUAGGAAUCUGCCUAGUGGUGGGGGAUAACGUUCGGAAACGGACGCUAAUACCGCAUACGUCCUACGGGAGAAAGCGGGGGAUCUUCGGACCUCGCGCCAUUAGAUGAGCCUAGGUCGGAUUAGCUAGUUGGUGAGGUAAUGGCUCACCAAGGCGACGAUCCGUAACUGGUCUGAGAGGAUGAUCAGUCACACUGGAACUGAGACACGGUCCAGACUCCUACGGGAGGCAGCAGUGGGGAAUAUUGGACAAUGGGCGAAAGCCUGAUCCAGCCAUGCCGCGUGUGUGAAGAAGGUCUUCGGAUUGUAAAGCACUUUAAGUUGGGAGGAAGGGUUGUAGAUUAAUACUCUGCAAUUUUGACGUUACCGACAGAAUAAGCACCGGCUAACUUCGUGCCAGCAGCCGCGGUAAUACGAAGGGUGCAAGCGUUAAUCGGAAUUACUGGGCGUAAAGCGCGCGUAGGUGGUUCGUUAAGUUGGAUGUGAAAGCCCCGGGCUCAACCUGGGAACUGCAUCCAAAACUGGCGAGCUAGAGUACGGUAGAGGGUGGUGGAAUUUCCUGUGUAGCGGUGAAAUGCGUAGAUAUAGGAAGGAACACCAGUGGCGAAGGCGACCACCUGGACUGAUACUGACACUGAGGUGC
rnacentral:rRNA from 1 species